GUCUAAGUAUAAGCAAUUAUACAGCGAAACUGCGAAUGGCUCAUUAUAUAAGUUAUCGUUUAUUUGAUAAUACCUUACUACUUGGAUAACCGUGGUAAUUCUAGAGCUAAUACAUGCUAAAAAUCCCGACUUCGGAAGGGUUGUAUUUAUUAGAUUAAAAACCAAUGCCCCUCGGGGCUCUCUGGUGAAUCAUGAUAACUAGUCGAAUCGACAGGCCUUGUGCCGGCGAUGGCUCAUUCAAAUUUCUUCCCUAUCAACUUUCGAUGUUUGGGUAUUGGCCAAACAUGGUGGCAACGGGUAACGGAGGGUUAGGGCUCGACCCCGGAGAAGGAGCCUGAGAAACGGCUACUACAUCCAAGGAAGGCAGCAGGCGCGCAAAUUACCCAAUCCCGACACGGGGAGGUAGUGACAAUAAAUACUGAUACAGGGCUCUUUUGGGUCUUGUAAUCGGAAUGAGUACAAUUUAAAUCCCUUAACGAGGAACAAUUGGAGGGCAAGUCUGGUGCCAGCAGCCGCGGUAAUUCCAGCUCCAAUAGCGUAUAUUAAAGUUGUUGUGGUUAAAAAGCUCGUAGUUGAACCUUGGGCCUGGCUGGCCGGUCCGCCUCACCGCGUGCACUGGUCCGGCCGGGCCUUUCCCUCUGCGGAACCCCAUGCCCUUCACUGGGCGUGGCGGGGAAACAGGACUUUUACUUUGAAAAAAUUAGAGUGCUCAAGGCAGGCCUAUGCUCGAAUACAUUAGCAUGGAAUAAUGAAAUAGGACGUUGCGGUUCUAUUUUGUUGGUUUCUAGGACCGCCGUAAUGAUUAAUAGGGACAGUCGGGGGCAUCAGUAUUCAAUUGUCAGAGGUGAAAUUCUUGGAUUUAUUGAAGACUAACUACUGCGAAAGCAUUUGCCAAGGAUGUUUUCAUUAAUCAGGAACGAAAGUUAGGGGAUCGAAGACGAUCAGAUACCGUCGUAGUCUUAACCAUAAACUAUGCCGACUAGGGAUCGGACGAUGUUAUAUUUUUUGACGCGUUCGGCACCUUACGAGAAAUCAAAGUGCUUGGGCUCCAGGGGGAGUA
rnacentral:rRNA from 1 species